rnacentral:rRNA from 1 species
AACGAACGCUGGCGGCAUGCCUAACACAUGCAAGUCGAACGAGACCUUCGGGUCUAGUGGCGCACGGGUGCGUAACGCGUGGGAACCUGCCCUUAGGUUCGGAAUAACUCCCCGAAAGGGGUGCUAAUACCGGAUAAUGUCUUCGGACCAAAGAUUUAUCGCCUUUGGAUGGGCCCGCGUUGGAUUAGCUAGUUGGUAGGGUAAAAGCCUACCAAGGCGACGAUCCAUAGCUGGUCUGAGAGGAUGAUCAGCCACACUGGGACUGAGAUACGGCCCAGACUCCUACGGGAGGCAGCAGUGGGGAAUAUUGGACAAUGGGCGAAAGCCUGAUCCAGCAAUGCCGCGUGAGUGAUGAAGGCCUUAGGGUUGUAAAGCUCUUUUACCCGGGAUGAUAAUGACAGUACCGGGAGAAUAAGCUCCGGCUAACCCCGUG